rnacentral:lncRNA from 1 species
AGGGCCUUGUAUGCUUGCUUGUGGGUAGAAUAACAGUGGCGUCGGAGACGUGUUGAUGGAAGUUGGGCAUCAAGUGUCUUAAUGAUGUGGAAUUAAAAUCACAGGCAACCAGACAUGCAGCCUCUGGAUGUAAGUUUUCCUGCUUGUUUAUAGCCUUGUAUAGUUCAGUAAGUGCCAGCUUGUUGUUUUUCUUGUCCUGAGGAGGAAUAUAUACAACAGUCAUGAUAACAGCUGAAAACUCCCUCGGGAGGUAGAAGUGGCGCCAUUUGACCAUCAGGUAUUCCAAGACCGGUGAACAAUGGGUUGACACUUCCACUGAACUCGAGUCAGCACACCAGUUGUUGUUGAUGAAGAGGCUAACCCCUCCCCCUCUCGAUUUCUCUGACUGCACUGUCCUGUCCGCGUGGAGAAUGGAGAAUCCAUCAAGUUGGAUAGCAUUGGGGAGUAUCUUGUCCGAGAGCCAUGUUUCAGAAAAGCAGAAAAUAUUGCAGUAUUGAGAGUCCCGUUGGUGGCUGGCUUUCCCUUCGCCUAAAUCUCGCUAGGAUUCCCCCUCUCUUGCCUCUGUAACGGUGGCGUUUCCUCUUGCGUAGCCUGAAAAUGUGGUCAGAAGUACAGAAAGAGCCCUGGGCAGAUGAGUCAAAGUCAAAGUUGAAGCCAGAAUUGCGAUUACAUCUUCAAACUAAGGGCAACCAUGUUUCCACACAGAGAGGGAGAAGGAUCUGAUGAUUCUUAUGGCAUUGCACACGGUCAGUGUGAACCAGAGUGACUUGACACAAUGGGCCAAGCAAGCUGUACAAACAAAACAUAAACAAAACAGGACGUCUUAUUUAAUGAAAGGGGUUGCAGUCUGCCAUGAAGCGUUCAUCCAUGUAUACGGCAUCAGCAGAACACGCCUGACUCUCCUCCACCAGUCAUACAAGGAGAAUGGUCUGAUGCUUCCUAUCAAAAAGAGAGCUGGCCCAAACAAGUACAGGUUACACGUGAAGCACGAGGACUUAGUGUGUUGUGAACUUCAUCAUCAACUACGCAGAGGAUAAUGCAGUAGUAUUACCAGGACACCACCCAGGACACAAACCCUUUGGUGGAAAGCUGCUGCCAUCCCAUGUGACAAAAGCAGCAGUGUGGCGUCUCUACAAGGAAUCGAUGACAACACUCGUCAUGCUGCCUUCCUUCAGGAAUCUGUGGAGAAAAUUGCUGCCCCACAUCUCAAGUGCUAAGCCCAGGAAAGACCUGUACUGACAGUGCCAGAGGAACAACUAUCAGGUCUUCAGAUCUACCAAUCUGCCAGAAGCUGUUAAAUCAGCCAAGCUGAAGAAGCAAGAGCAGCAUCUCCUGCUUGUUCAGAAUGAGUGAUCUGUCUACCAUAAGAUGGUUGCUGACUGCAAGACCACCUGUCAAGACCUGCAGUUGUCUCUGGGGGCCCCUACUGAACCAGCAAGCAAGCGAUAGAUAGAUAGAUAGAUAGAUAGAUAGAUAGAUAGAUAGAUAGAUAGAUAGAUAGAUAGAUAGAUAGAUAGAUAGAUAGAUA